AUUGAACGCUGGCGGCAGGCCUAACACAUGCAAGUCGAACGGUAACAGGAAGACGCUUGCUUCUUUGCUGACGAGUGGCGGACGGGUGAGUAAUGUCUGGGAAACUGCCUGAUGGAGGGGGAUAACUACUGGAAACGGUAGCUAAUACCGCAUAACGUCGCAAGACCAAAGAGGGGGACCUUCGGGCCUCUUGCCAUCGGCUGUGCCCAGAUGGGAUUAGCUAGUAGGUGGGGUAACGGCUCACCUAGGCGACGAUCCCUAGCUGGUCUGAGAGGAUGACCAGCCACACUGGAACUGAGACACGGUCCAGACUCCUACGGGAGGCAGCAGUGGGGAAUAUUGCACAAUGGGCGCAAGCCUGAUGCAGCCAUGCCGCGUGUAUGAAGAAGGCCUUCGGGUUGUAAAGUACUUUCAGCGGGGAGGAAGGGAGUAAAGUUAAUACCUUUGCUUAUUGACGUUACCCGCAGAAGAAGCACCGGCUAACUCCGUG
rnacentral:rRNA from 1 species